AGUGUCCUGACCGUGUCCCGGAUCACGGUGUAAGGAACCAGACUGGGUUGACGAGAUAGGAAGAAAGAGGGGAAGAGGGUAGAGCAUAGGUCCAGUUCUGAUUCUGCCAUUUACUCUGCACAGAAUGUGGAGCUUCUCCGCCUCCAACAUCCACCUACAGGCCAACAGACUCAACAAGCAUGGUUCAUCAUGAAGACUCUGGAAGACCCUCAGGCAGCUCAUAAAACCGAGGCUUUUUGGUAACACUGUGACUGUCUCCAGCCAAGCCUUGCUGGGCCCUGCUAAGACUCCCUGCCUCCCCUUCACGGCCUCGUCCAAGAACCUCUCCAGUCUCAUCUCCGACUCUGGGCCUCCCACCCCCUUUCUGCCAGUAGGUAAGAAAUUACCUUGGUUUUCCCCAGAACUCUUUUCUCCAAUAGACCUGCCCCCCACCCCUUUCUGGAGGAUACCUUUGCUUGAAAAUUUUGGAUCAGAAGAAGAGGCUCAUACCCACCUCCCAAGCAGAUUCUAGAACUAAGGUUCUAAGACCUUCUCACUAUGAGAGGCCAUUCCAAUCUUCCUUCCCAUACCCUUGGCCCCUUAACAUCUCUGCAACCAACUCUCAGUCUGUGGGACCCUCCGUAUGAUUCUGACACCGUGAGACCAUGCAUCAAAGUUUGGAGAGCCAAGAUGGUGGCCUUUCCCACUUUUCUCUUGUCAUUCCAGCUCCUUAUCUCUUUCCCAGGGUAUGAAGUAAAGAGUGGGUAAGAGACAACCCAAAGGACUCUGUCUUGUUAUUUUUUCAACCAUUAACAGUGGUUGAAGAUGAGUCUCCUGCUUGGGUUGACUGGAACUGAGACCUACUCUAUGCCCUUGGCUAUGACCAACUUGGCCACCAUCCCACUAAAGCAAACAGACAUGAGCCCAGGAGAUACCAAGGCUUUUCAGAUAGAUUUUAAGGUCUUUGGUGAGAAAUCUAAACUUUAGAGGUGGGGAUAGAAGAAAAAUCAGGUGUUAGACAUCUACCUGCCCCCCUCUCCCCUGAAUCCUCCAUCCUGGGCCUGGUCUAGAAAUCCUGUGCCUUUUAUUAUCAAAGUAUGGGGCCAUCAGACCUUUGGGAUGACCCCUCAUAGAUAUCCCCUAGGCCACCUUUUCUGCUUUAUGGGCUACGUCUUUCCUCCCCGUAUGAUUUUUCUGCCCUUUUAACUCCUUCCCAUGGACCCCUGCUUCUCCUUUGCCCUUCCCCACCACCGGCCUCCACCAGAAUCUGAGAAAUUUCACAUUUCUCCCACCAUUUUGUGAGCUUUCACUGCCUCUGGAUAGAUCCGUGAGCCAGCGACGCCAUCCAUUUCGCUGCUUGGCGGGAUAAAAGGGGGUGAUGGUGGUCAUCUGCUCCCAGUGACAUCUGUCUUUCCCUUUUAUUUAUUUGACAUCCCUGAAGCCCAUCACCUCACAUCUCAAGUUGCAAGCGGUGCUUUCCGCCACGAGUCCUAUCCCUUUCACACUCGAGCCUCGGAGCCUCUCUGCGGGAGUCACUGACCUUAUCCUGCCAACGUCCCACCUGAUGCACCCCCCACUGUGCCUCCUGGCUUUAUGAAGACUUGUUCCGUUGUUUUGGCUCUGAAGAGCCCCAUGCCCAGCCCCUCUCUGGCCAGAGGAUGGGGCGUUGGGGCGGGUGUUGGGGGUGGGUGUUGGGGCCGGGCAGUGCGGCCACACCUAAGGUUGGAAAUAACUCCAGGAGAAGACCUUCUCUGGGAUCUGCUGUCUUGGAGAUGAGAAGCCCAAGGCUCAGAGAAGUUAAGUGACCUGGCAAAUCCCACGGUCAGCAAACAGGUGGCAGGACUGGGAGUGGAAGCCAUCGACCUGACUCUCCGGCUGGCGCUCUUUCCCUCGCCUCCACCUGGCACCCAGGUGCACUCGCUUUCUGGGCUGGGACAGCCCCAGGGACUUGUCAUAAGAUGGAGUCCAGCCGUCCAGCGCCCCCGGCAGUGGUACCCGGGUUCUUCUCCCAUCCCUUCGUGGGGGAACACGCCAUCUCCUGGGACAGCCCACACACCUUCGACGAACACGUCUCUCCUUGGCAGAAUUGAAUUUUGUCUUUUUGUUGCUUGCAUCAGAGGCCCGGCUUCUCUGGGUCUGACCUCUCGGGGUCAGUCCUGAGUCGCUCUGAUCCCUCCUAUGGCGAUGACAGCUCUUGCGGGAAGCCUGCAGUCCAUCCUUUUGUGUUCUUUUCUCCUGGGGAAACAACUCUGUCACCUGUCUAUGACUCCGGCACUAAUAUCAGUGUGUGUGUGUGUGUGUGUGUCGCACCCCACCAGACAGUUAGCUCGAUUCUGACACUGCCUACUUGCAGGUAGCCUCAGAUCCCACAGGGUAAGUGCUGGGUCCUGCCAGUCUGUCCCUGCCCCAUCUCAGAUGCAAUCCCAAGUCCAGGUCGUUACCUGUGCUCCCGACUGCCUGGGGAUCAGAGGUUCCAGCAACCCUGGCUUUGGGUUUAAAUAACUUGCUGUGUGGCGCAAAGAGCGCAGAGAAACGUUUUACUCACAAGAUUCCUGGUCUAUGAGAAAGGGUACCAAAGCAAGAGCCAGACGGGAGAGAUGUGGGGGGCACCGAAUGGGGAAAAGGCACCGAGCUCCCAUGCCCUGUCCAGGCGCGCCGUCUCCCAGCAUCUCCGCGCGCUCACCGACCCCAGAGCGCUCUGGACCUACCUAUCCUCUGAGUUUUUGUGGAGGCUUCAUUACAUAGGUAUGAUUGGUUGUAUCAGUGGCCGUCGGUGAUUAAUUCAAUCUCCAGCCCCUCUCCCCGUCUCUGAGGUCAGUGGAGGGACACAGAGUCCCAACCAUCCAGUCACACGGUUGGCUCCCCUGGUGACCAGCCCCAGUCCUUAGGUAACUUCAGUGUUUUCUAGAAGUCA